UGUCGUCAGCUCGUGUUGUGAAAUGUUGGGUUAAGUCCCGCAACGAGCGCAACCCUUAUCCUUUGUUGCCAGCACGUGAUGGUGGGAACUCAAAGGAGACUGCCGGUGAUAAACCGGAGGAAGGUGGGGAUGACGUCAAGUCAUCAUGGCCCUUACGAGUAGGGCUACACACGUGCUACAAUGGCAGAUACAAAGUGAAGCGAACUCGCGAGAGCAAGCGGACCACAUAAAGUCUGUCGUAGUCCGGAUUGGAGUCUGCAACUCGACUCCAUGAAGUCGGAAUCGCUAGUAAUCGUAGAUCAGAAUGCUACGGUGAAUACGUUCCCGGGCCUUGUACACACCGCCCGUCACACCAUGGGAGUGGGUUGCAAAAGAAGUAGGUAGCUUAACCUUCGGGAGGGCGCUUACCACUUUGUGAUUCAUGACUGGGGUGAAGUCGUAACAAGGUAACCGUAGGGGAACCUGC
rnacentral:rRNA from 1 species